rnacentral:sRNA from 1 species
UAUGUUUUUCUAAAAA